UGUAACCAUCUGCCUUAGAAACUUCCUUCUUUUUUCAUGAUGGAAGCUAAGAUUUUUCACUUCGACAUCUGGAGCUUUAAGAAGAAAAAUACAAAAUAUUGAAAAAGUUUUGAUAAGUGCAAGCAUUGGCAACAGUGGAGCAGAAAGAGGGGAGAAGCAAAGGAGGAUAAUAAUAUUAUUCAAGAUGGCCAACCUGCAGACAGAGAUGAGCUAACAGCUGAGAGAGUGAACUGGAUUCUUUUGUUCAUCAGAGUUGUAACUGAUUGGAGCUUAAGAAAUAAUUAUGCAAAACUAUCAUAGGUGUCACUGAUAAUAUAACUUGGACAGAACUUUGCAAGCACUCUCACACACAUUUUCAAAGCAGAAGCAAAAGAGCAAGAGCCCCAACCUGUUUCUUACCAUGCCUACCAACCACCAAACCGAGUUCAGCUGCCCCAUGCAUUCAGUUUAAAAUGAAAAAUUUUCUCAGCAGAGUGAUUCAUUCAUUGAAAAAGAGUUAACCUUCAGUGUUUCACAAUGUACCUUCUCUGUCUACCCUUGAUUUUUUUCCC